UCAAGUUAUUAAGGGUGCAGGGCGGAUGCCUUGGCACUAGGAGCCGAUGAAGGACGUGAUAAGCUGCGAUAAGCUUCGGGGAGUUGCACGUAAACUUUGAUCCGAAGAUUUCCGAAUGAGGAAACUCACUUAGAGUAAUGUCUAAGUAUCAUUAAGUGAAUACAUAGCUUAAUGAGGGGAACUCAGGGAACUGAAACAUCUAAGUACCUGAAGGAAGAGAAAGAAAUUCGAUUCCGUAAGUAGCGGCGAGCGAACGCGGAUUAGCCCAAACCAAUAAAGUUUUCUUUAUUGGGGUUGCGGACAUAUCAUAACGAAGAGGUAUCGUAAUUGAAGAGGUUUGGAAAGACCCACCACAGAAGGUAAUAGUCCUGUAUGUUAAACGAGAAGACUUCAGAUAUGAUCCAGAGUACCACGGGACACGUGAAACCCUGUGGGAAGCAGGAGGGACCACCCUCCAAGGCUAAAUACUACCUAGUGACCGAUAGCGUAUAGUACCGUGAGGGAAAGGUGAAAAGAACCCCGGGAGGGGAGUGAAAUAGAACCUGAAACCCUGCACUUACAAGCUGUGGAAGCACAUUUCUUGUGUGACCGCGUACUUUUUGUAGAACGGGCCAACGAGUUACGUUAAGUAGCAAGGUUAAGCACUUAAGGUGCGGAGCCGUAGCGAAAGCGAGUUUUAACUGAGCGUUCAGUUACUUGACGUAGACCCGAAACCGGGCGACCUACCCAUGAGCAGGAUGAAGCGAAAGUAAAAUUUCGUGGAGGUCCGAACCCACGAGCGUUGAAAAGCUCGGGGAUGACUUGUGGGUAGCGGUGAAAUUCCAAUCGAGCCCGGAGAUAGCUGGUUCUCCCCGAAAUAGCUUUAGGGCUAGCCUCAAGGUGAGAGAUACGGAGGUAGAGCACUGAAUGUCCUAGGGGGUAUUGCACCUACCGAAGACUAUCAAACUCCGAAUGCCGUCAUCUUAUACUUGGGAGUCAGACUGUGGGUGAUAAGAUUCAUAGUCGAAAGGGCAACAGCCCAGAUCGUCAGCUAAGGUCCCUAAAUGUAAGUUAAGUGGUAAAGGAUGUGGGAUUGCACAGACAACCAGGAUGUUGGCUUAGAAGCAGCCACUCAUUCAAAGAGUGCGUAAUAGCUCACUGGUCGAGUGAUCCUGCGCCGAAGAUUUCCGGGGCUAAAACUUACUACCGAAGCUACGGCAUCAGUAAUGAUGGGUAGGGGAGCUUCCCAUACGGGUUGAAGCAUGACCGUAAGGACAUGUGGACAGUAUGGGAGUGAGAAUGUUGGCAUGAGUAGCGAGAUGUGGGUGAGAAUCCCACAGGCCGUAAACCCAAGGUUUCCAGGGGAAGGUUCGUCCGCCCUGGGUUAGUCGGGACCUAAGCUGAGGCCGAAAGGCGUAGGUGAUGGACAACAGGUUGAUAUUCCUGUACUACCGAUAACCAUUUGAGAGAAGGGAUGACACAGUAGGAUAAGCUAAGCACACUGUUGGUUAUGUGUGCCCAAGCAUUGAGGCAGUCAAAGUAGGCAAAUCCGCUUUGAUAAUGCUGGGAUGUGAUGGGGAGCGAAAUUUAGUAGCGAAGUAGCUGAUUUCACACUGUCAAGAAAAGUCUCUAUCGAGGUUAAAGGUACCCGUACCGCAAACCGACACAGGUGGGUGAGGAGAGUAUCCUAAGGCCAGCGAGAGAACUGUUGUUAAGGAACUCGGCAAAAUGACCCCGUAACUUAGGGAUAAGGGGUGCCACCAUCCGGUGGCCGCAGAGAAUAGGCCCAAGCGACUGUUUACCAAAAACAUAGGUUUCUGCUAAGUCGCAAGACGAUGUAUAGGAGCUGACGCCUGCCCGGUGCUGGAAGGUUAAGGGGAUCUGUUAGAGCAAUCGAAGCAGUGAACUUAAGCCCCAGUAAACGGCGGCCGUAACUAUAACGGUCCUAAGGUAGCGAAAUUCCUUGUCGGGUAAGUUCCGACCCGCACGAAAGGCGUAACGAUUUGGGCACUGUCUCAACAACAGACUCGGUGAAAUUGUAAUUCCGGUGAAGAUGCCGGAUACCUGCGACAGGACGGAAAGACCCCAUGGAGCUUUACUGUAGCUUGACAUUGGGUCUUGGUACUACAUGUACAGGAUAGGUGGGAGGCUUUGAAACCAGGACGCCAGUUUUGGCGGAGCCAUCCUUGGGAUACCACCCUUGUAGUACUGGGACUCUAACCAUAGGCCAUGAAUCUGGUCUUGGGACACUGUCAGGUGGGCAGUUUGACUGGGGCGGUCGCCUCCCAAAAGGUAACGGAGGCGCUCAAAGGUUCUCUCAGUACGGUCGGAAAUCGUACGUAGAGUGUAAAGGCAAAAGAGAGCUUGAUUGCAAGACAUACAGGUCGAGCAAGGAUGAAAAUCGGACUUAGUGAUCCGGUGGUUCUGCGUGGAAGGGCCAUCGCUCAACGGAUAAAAGCUACCCUGGGGAUAACAGGCUUAUCUCCCCCAAGAGUCCACAUCGACGGGGAGGUUUGGCACCUCGAUGUCGGCUCAUCACAUCCUGGGGCUGUAGUAGGUCCCAAGGGUUGGGCUGUUCGCCCAUUAAAGUGGUACGCGAGCUGGGUUCAGAACGUCGUGAGACAGUUCGGUCCCUAUCCGUCGCAGGCGUAGGAAAUUUGAGAAGACCUGUCCUUAGUACGAGAGGACCGGGAUGGACGUACCUCUGGUGUACCAGUUGUCCUGCCAAGGGCAUGGCUGGGUAGCUAUGUACGGAAUGGAUAAGCGCUGAAAGCAUCUAAGCGCGAAGCCAACUUCAAGAUAAGAUUUCCCACCGCAAGGGUAAGACCCCAGAAAGACUAUCUGGUUGAUAGGUCGAAGGUGUAAGUGCAGCAAUGUAUUUAGCUUAUCGAUACUAAUAGGUCGAGGACUUGACCAA
rnacentral:rRNA from 1 species